rnacentral:rRNA from 1 species
CCUACGGGAGGCAGCAGUGGGGAAUAUUGCACAAUGGGGGGAACCCUGAUGCAGCGACGCCGCGUGAGUGAAGAAGUAUUUCGGUAUGUAAAGCUCUAUCAGCAGGGAAGAAAUAAAGUCCUUCGGACUUUGGACGGUAUCUGACUAAGAAGCCCCGGCUAACUACGUGCCAGCAGCCGCGGUAAUACGUAGGGGGCAAGCGUUAUCCGGAUUUACUGGGUGUAAAGGGAGCGUAGACGGCAGCGCAAGUCUGGAGUGAAAUCCCAUGGCUUAACCAUGGAACUGCUUUGGAAACGGUGCAGCUAGGGUUCAGGGGAGGUAAGCGGAAUUCCUGGUGGAGCGGUGAAAUGCGUAGAUAUUAGGAGGAACACCAGUGGCGAGGGCGGCUUACGGGACUGUAACUGACGUUGAGGCUCGAAAGCGUGGUGAGCAAACAGGAUUAGAUACCCGGUAGUC